CGGUCGAGCUGAUCUACGAGCACCGUUGUGCGUUAGCAUGCUUUGACGCGGGAGCGCGCUUAUAGGUUGCGCGCGCCUUACUCAAAUAGGGGCCUUUAGCUAUAGUGGGGCCCUUGCUUGUUUGGGGGAUUAAUUGAUUAGAUACCCGAGAACCAUAAUCUUUCCUAGGAACAGCUUCUACGACGAUAGAUAGGGGUCAGGUUUGGCAUCUAUGCCCCCUGCCCUCCAAACAGUAUGGGAGCCUUUCAGCUCGUACUGCUCACACUCCUAGAUCUUCACGGCACCUCCUCCACCAUAGUGUGAGCUGGGAGCAGCUCCGAAAAGCUAGGCCUACUUAAAAAUUGGAAAUUCGCUUUCAACAACGUCAACAACAC